rnacentral:rRNA from 1 species
GGGUUGUGAGGUUAAGCGACUAAGCGUACACGGUGGAUGCCCUGGCAGUCAGAGGCGAUGAAGGACGUGCUAAUCUGCGAAAAGCGCCGGCGAGGUGAUAUGAACCUUUGACCCGGCGAUGUCCGAAUGGGGAAACCCAGUGCAAUCCGUUGCACUAUCGUUAACUGAAUACAUAGGUUAACGAGGCGAACCGGGGGAACUGAAACAUCUAAGUACCCCGAGGAAAAGAAAUCAACCGAGAUUCCCCCAGUAGCGGCGAGCGAACGGGGAGCAGCCCGGAGUCUGAAUCAGCUUGUGUGUUAGUGGAACGGUCUGGAAAGUCCGACGGUACAGGGUGAUAGUCCCGUACACGAAAGCACACAUGCUGUGAACUCGAAGAGUAGGGCGGGACACGUGGUAUCCUGUCUGAAUAUGGGGGGACCAUCCUCCAAGGCUAAAUACUCCUGACUGACCGAUAGUGAACCAGUACCGUGAGGGAAAGGCGAAAAGAACCCCGGCGAGGGGAGUGAAAAAGAACCUGAAACCGUGUACGUACAAGCAGUGGGAGCCUCUUUAUGGGGUGACUGCGUACCUUUUGUAUAAUGGGUCAGCGACUUAUAUUCUGUAGCAAGGUUAACCGUAUAGGGGAGCCGAAGGGAAACCGAGUCUUAACUGGGCGUUAAGUUGCAGGGUAUAGACCCGAAACCCGGUGAUCUAGCCAUGGGCAGGUUGAAGGUUGGGUAACACUAACUGGAGGACCGAACCGACUAAUGUUGAAAAAUUAGCGGAUGACCUGUGGCUGGGGGUGAAAGGCCAAUCAAACCGGGAGAUAGCUGGUUCUCCCCGAAAGCUAUUUAGGUAGCGCCUCGUGAACUCAUCUUCGGGGGUAGAGCACUGUUUCGGCUAGGGGGCCAUCCCGGCUUACCAACCCGAUGCAAACUACGAAUACCGAAGAAUGUUAUCACGGGAGACACACGGCGGGUGCUAACGUCCGUCGUGAAGAGGGAAACAACCCAGACCGCCAGCUAAGGUCCCAAAGUCAUGGUUAAGUGGGAAACGAUGUGGGAAGGCACAGACAGCCAGGAUGUUGGCUUAGAAGCAGCCAUCAUUUAAAGAAAGCGUAAUAGCUCACUGGUCGAGUCGGCCUGCGCGGAAGAUGUAACGGGGCUAAACCAUGCACCGAAGCUGCGGCAGCGACACUAUGUGUUGUUGGGUAGGGGAGCGUUCUGUAAGCCGUUGAAGGUGUGCUGUGAGGCAUGCUGGAGGUAUCAGAAGUGCGAAUGCUGACAUAAGUAACGAUAAAGCGGGUGAAAAG